UACAGAGACUGCAAGCGUUAUUCGGAUUCACUGGGCGUAAAGGGUGCGCAGGCGGCCAAGUGUGUGAGGCGUGAAAGCCUGGGGCUUAACUCCAGAAUUGCACCUCAAACUACGUGGCUAGAGCAUUGGAGAGGGUAGCAGAAUUCACGGUGUAGCAGUGAAAUGCGUAGAUAUCGUGAGGAAUACCAGAGGCGAAGGCGGCUACCUGGACAAUUGCUGACGCUCAGGCACGAAAGCGUGGGGAGCAAAAGGG
rnacentral:rRNA from 1 species